AUUGAACGCUGGCGGCAUGCUUUACACAUGCAAGUCGAACGGCAGCACGAAAGAGCUUGCUCUUUUGGUGGCGAGUGGCGAACGGGUGAGUAAUGCAUCGGAACGUACCGAGUAAUGGGGGAUAACUGUCCGAAAGGAUAGCUAAUACCGCAUACGCUUUGAGAAGGAAAGUGGGGGCUCUUCGGACCUCACGUUAUUCGAGCGGCCGAUGUCUGAUUAGCUAGUUGGUGGGGUAAAGGCCUACCAAGGCGACGAUCAGUAGCGGGUCUGAGAGGAUGAUCCGCCACACUGGGACUGAGACGCGGCCCAGACUCCUACGGGAGGCAGCAGUGGGGAAUUUUGGACAAUGGGCGCAAGCCUGAUCCAGCCAUGCCGCGUGUCUGAAGAGGGCCUUCGGGUUGUAAAGGACUUUUGUUAGGGAAGAAAAGGAUAGUGUUAAUACCAUUAUCUGCUGACGGUACCUAAAGAAUAAGCACCGGCUAACUACGUG
rnacentral:rRNA from 1 species